rnacentral:rRNA from 1 species
GAUGAACGCUAGCUACAGGCUUAACACAUGCAAGUCGAGCGGAGUGAUCCUUCGGGGUCACUUAGUGGCGAACGGGUGAGUAACGCGUGAGAAACCUGCCUUUCAGUGGGGGACAACAGUUGGAAACGACAGCUAAUACCGCAUAAUGUUAUUUGGGGGCAUCCCUGAAUAACCAAAGCUUUAUGUGCUGAAAGAUGGUCUCGCGUCUGAUUAGCUAGAUGGCGGGGUAACGGCCCACCAUGGCGACGAUCAGUAGCCGGUCUGAGAGGAUGAACGGCCACAUUGGGACUGAGAUACGGCCCAGACUCCUACGGGAGGCAGCAGUGGGGAAUAUUGGGCAAUGGGGGAAACCCUGACCCAGCAACGCCGCGUGAGGGAAGAAGGCUUUCGGGUUGUAAACCUCUUUUAGCAGGGACGAAGAACGUGACGGUACCUGCAGAAAAAGCAACGGCUAACUACGUGCCAGCCGCCGCGGUAAUAC